UAAAAGCUAUAUUUUGUAUUAUGUCUAAUUCAAUUAGAGAUAGACUUUUUCCAAACCUUCAAACUAUUUGUUUUUGUUUAAUUGAAUUACAAUUUAAACUAAUAUUACUGUGCAGUCCUCGAGAUCGAUAUUUGGGAAACGUCCCUAUUAUUACUACAUUGGCAAAAUAGUACACUUGCUAUUUUCCCGAUCAAGUUUUUGGCGCCGUUGUCGGGGACUGCCAAAUAUAAAGUUUAAAUUUAUUUCAAUUGAAAUUUUGUUGCUCUACAACUAAAAUUUAU
rnacentral:lncRNA from 1 species